UAGGGAAUCUUCGGCAAUGGGGGCAACCCUGACCGAGCAACGCCGCGUGAGUGAAGAAGGUUUUCGGAUCGUAAAGCUCUGUUGUAAGUCAAGAACGGGUGUGAGAGUGGAAAGUUCACACUGUGACGGUAGCUUACCAGAAAGGGACGGCUAACUACGUGCCAGCAGCCGCGGUAAUACGUAGGUCCCGAGCGUUGUCCGGAUUUAUUGGGCGUAAAGCGAGCGCAGGCGGUUUGAUAAGUCUGAAGUUAAAGGCUGUGGCUCAACCAUAGUUCGCUUUGGAAACUGUCAAACUUGAGUGCAGAAGGGGAGAGUGGAAUUCCAUGUGUAGCGGUGAAAUGCGUAGAUAUAUGGAGGAACACCGGUGGCGAAAGCGGCUCUCUGGUCUGUAACUGACGCUGAGGCUCGAAAGCGUGGGGAGCGAACAGGAUUAGAUACCCUGGUAGUCCACGCCGUAAACGAUGAGUGCUAGGUGUUGGAUCCUUUCCGGGAUUCAGUGCCGCAGCUAACGCAUUAAGCACUCCCGC
rnacentral:rRNA from 1 species